AGCAGCCGCGGUAAUUCCAGCUCCAAUAGCGUAUAUUAAAGUUGUUGCAGUUAAAAAGCUCGUAGUUGAACUUCGGGGUUCACCCAUUGGUCAGGCUUAAUUGUCUGUACUGGUGAGAUGAAUCUCUACCUUCUGAGGAACUUUCAUGCCAUUUAUUUGGUGUGAUGGGAAAUCAGGACUGUUACUUUGAAAAAUUAGAGUGUUUAAAGCAGGCUAACGUCUGAAUACAUUAGCAUGGAAUAAUGAAAUAGGACGGAUUGAUUCUAUUUCGUUGGUUUCUAGGGUCACCGUAAUGAUUAAUAGGGAUAGUUGGGGGCAUUAGUAUUCAAUUGUCAGAGGUGAAAUUCUUGGAUUUAUUGAAGACUAACUACUGCGAAAGCAUUUGCCAAGGAUGUUUUCAUUAAUCAAGAACGAAAGUUAGGGGAUCGAAGACGAUCAGAUACCGUCGUAGUCUUAACCAUAAACUAUGCCGACUAGGGAUCGGACGAAGUUAAUUAAUAAUGACGCGUUCGGCACCUUA
rnacentral:misc_RNA from 1 species